rnacentral:rRNA from 1 species
CCUACGGGUGGCAGCAGUGGGGGAUAUUGCACAAUGGGGGAAACCCUGAUGCAGCGACGCCGCGUGUGGGAAGACGGUCUUCUGGAUUGUAAACCACUGUCCACAGGGACGAAAAUGACGGUACCUGGGGAGGAAGCUCCGGCUAACUACGUGCCAGCAGCCGCGGUAAUACGUAGGGAGCAAGCGUUGUCCGGAAUUACGGGGUGUAAAGGGAGCGUAGGCGGGGAUGCAAGUUGGGUGUAAAAACUACCGGCUCAACCGAUAGUCGCACUCAAAACUGCAACUCUUGAGUGAAGUAGAGGCAGGCGGAAUUCCGAGUGUAGCGGUGAAAUGCGUAGAUAUUAGGAGGAACACCAGUGGCGAGGGCGGCCUGCUGGGCUUUUACUGACGCUGAGGCUCGAAAGUGUGGGGAGCAAACAGGAUUAGAUACCCUGGUAGUC